GGCCACAUAGCGGUCAUAAGACAUCACUGUGAGAAUGGCCACCUCACUCCAGGCUAAACCUGUGAAGAAAAAAACCUGCAGCAUGCACUGCCCAUAUGAAAUAUAGCCACUUCGUGCCAGGGAACUGUCAACAUACUGGGGAACUGUGACAGAGAGAGAUGAGAAGUCCAUAAUGGAAAGGUGCUUCAGAAAGUAAUACAUUGGAGACUGGAGCUGUUUGUCUAUUGUUGUGAUGGUGAUAAUGAUGAAGUUCCCUGCUGAAUCCAAUAGAUAAUGUUUAAGGAAUUGCAGUUUAUCAAGCCUGAAAGCAUGAUAGAUAUACCUUCAAUGCCAAGAAUCUGCAGGAUAAAAUAGUUCUUCUGUGAUGAGGUUUAGACUUUUUGAUAAGUAAGCAGUAGUUAGAGGUGAGUACAAGUGUCACAACUCACCAUAUUGUUGUGCUUUCUCUAAAAACAUUUCAAUUUCCAUCAAGGAAACCUAUGACUUUCAAGUCACAAUAGAAAUGCAAUUAUGAGGUAUUGGUUAACGUUUUCUGUACUUACAUUUUGUGACUUCUGUAUUACAUUUUGUGUACCUCGGUAUUGUAGCUCAUGGCCUAGUUGUAGACAGGUGAUAAACAUUUUCUUCCUAUCUAGCCAUGUGCUCAUUCCCAUAGAAACUACAUACAGUGUUGCUAAGAGCCUAAUCAAAUGGGGCAUCCUUUUGUUUUUUCUAUUUUUUAGUGUAUAACCAAGCCCA
rnacentral:lncRNA from 1 species